GAGUUGAGAUGAAACUCAACUAGAAGAUCAGUUGGAGUAAAGGAGACCCAGUCCUAAUGGGUAGCAGAGAAACUGUUUAUGAAGAAGGCUUGGACUUGUUAUGUACCAGUAGCAGAAGAGAAAAGCCUAGAAUCCUGCAGAAAAACAAGAUCCGAUGUUAAAUGCAAGGAUUCGUAAAUAUAGCAGUCAUGGAGGAAUUAGUGUAUUCCUGCCUCGAAGGCCUUCUUCAGAGAGGCAAGAUCUCCUGCCUUGGUGAUAAAAUUAAUAUUUGUGAAGACCCUCCCCGGAUCAUCAAUGUACCACUCCGAAUCGUCCUGGAUGGGGUGUUCAGGCCCGAAAGAUCCCAAGACGUAAGACUUGCCUAAGUAUUUGGUUCCCUUAAAGAACUCGUUAAUGUUGACCCCGCUGUCCCGGCUUUUUUCGUGCAUUUGAGCGAUGGUAAGCAGCUGCUCCGGGGUGACAAACUCUUGCCUCUCCUCCAGAGUCACCACGAAGUCGUCUUUGCUGACUACACCAUCGCCCCUGUCCACGAAGGAAAAGGAUUCCCGAAGGAAAGUCUCGUGCUCCGCGGACCAGUCGUGCAGCCUGAGGGCCCAGAGUGGGUUAGGGUUUUUAGCUCCAGGCUUAGCGAGUUUAGCCGCAGUCCGCUCUGCUCGACGGAUUUCCUUGCCUGCGGCUUUGAAGCCUCCUUCUUUCGCCACAGCACGGGGUGUUUUAUGUUCCAAAUUUUUCCAUUUCAGGUCACAUCCUGAAAAAGAAGCAUCACUGUUAAGAACCUGCCAAAGUUACCUUCGUGGUCCCACAAAACCACACUCCCAAGUAUUUUCUUGAGUUCGUGUAGUCAGAGGUUUGCCCUUAAAAUUGAUGUAUAAAGAAAAUAUUUAGUCAUUGUAAUUACCAAAAGAAACAGCAAUUUAUUUUCCUGAGAGUGAACUUGAGUAAAUUCUGAGAGACAAGUUUACAGUAUGUAUCUGCUCAUAUGUAUCCUUGUAGAUAGAUAACUUAGAUAAAAUGUAGAUGUUUGAAACAAAUAUCAUCAAAUGGGGCAUUUGCUGGGGAGAUGAUGUUAAUUCCAAAGGGAGGUUGCCCUGGAAUUCAAUAAAAAGAUUCUGGAUCAACACAGCUUGCACAGGACUUCAUCAGUUCAGAAUAUAGGAGGAUGCUGCCUUCUUUUUAAAUACAAAAUAUUUUACAAGCUCAAACAAUAUUUCACAUUUUUCUCCAUUAAGUGAAGGUAAUUUAUUCUAAUUUGCUGUUUUGUGGUAAAUCAUGGGAACAACCUUAACAUAUGAAGAAUGAUUUGUUUAAUCAAAGUUAAGCAUUCCAGACUUGUUUGUAUAUAAGAUAAAUAUUAAAAUUCAUUAUUUCCCUUGCUUAAAAUAAU